AUGGACGUGCACUCAGCUCCGUCUGGCCCUACUAAGGCGAGGGCACCUGUUGAGCAUCUAAUUGGGCAGUUUGCAUCCGGAAUGACCGGCUUGCUUGAGAAGUUGGUUGAGGGGUGGACGUCCCUUAAUGGCUCCGACAACAACACGGUUGCGAGGCAGUUCACUACAUUUGUCCCAGAACGGACACAUCGGCCAACUGGUUGCCGUGGCCGGUAUGACUACAACAGUUCCCAAGAGCUUGCUGACACACAAGAUGAACUAGAUGGAGACGCUAGUCUCAGCAAGGAUGACGAUGAUGACAUGGAGAACGUGCAACAGGACAACGAUGAUGAUGAACAUGUUGAAGUUCGUGCAGGUGGUAAGAAGGGCAAGGAUGCACCAGAUGUCCCCCCACCGGAGAAAGUCAAAGAACAUACGGCUGUGAGAGGCGAGGGGGUGUUGCCAUCAAAGAGGGGGAGGGCUCCAGAGGAUGUUGGGAAGGGUUCUCCUGGCAAGAGGUCUAGGACCGAUCCCGUAGCUGUUAGGAGGAGUGAGGCGACAACUGGUGGACGAGCAGUUACGAAGAAACAGGCACCAACGCCAACCCGUGUUUCUGCUCGGUUGAAGAAAGGUGCCCCCAUUGUUGGUGACACCCCUUCCACCAGGUCACCUCCUCGUACGACGACGUCCAACACCAGGGAUCCUGUCGUGUUACCAGACCUAAGAAAGCCAGUCAAGAAGGCCAAGCAUAUCAUUAGGGACCCACUCGAACGCCUUCAUUCAAAGUUGUCAACAGGGGGCAACUCAGAUGUUCAUGAGGCGCCAGUCGACAAAACUGCUGCUGCACCGUCAACUGUUCCCACUAACUGUGACGCAAGUGGCCGACCAUCUCCGCCGGUUGCAGAUGUGCAGGUUAGAACAACAGGCAUCAGUACAUCGGGGAGUGACGAGUCGGUAUCUGCCAGGACAGCUGAAAUAUUGCCAACUCUUCUGGCAAUGAAGGAUGCUGCUGUGAGCCAUGCCACCCCAUCAGCAAGCGUUGAAGUGGACGCUCCCGAGACCAACAUAAGCAAGGAAGAUUCCCGCUCAUCUGACACUGAUUCCAAGCGCAUGCGUGGUGGCACUCCUGUGUCCACAACAGAAGUGGCUGGGGCGGCAGUUAAUAAUGAUAUGCCAUCUACAGGUGAGAGUCUUGGCACAACAGCUCCAGCUCCUGUCGGUGCAGAUACUGCUAAGGCGACUGUUUCACGUGCUGGUCUUCCACCAAGGCGUUGUAGCCCCCGCAAGCAAUCAACAGACAUACCCAAUGCACCAGCUAUAACUAGGAGCAACAGAGAUGAGUCUGGUUAUGUUCCUGCGUCCACACUGUUCCCGCCACCUGCCAAAAGCAAUGUGAUGGAGAAACCAGAAGACCGGAGCACAACUGAUGCAGGUGUCAAGCCGGGCACGAGUGACGCAGGUGAACGCCCGGAGCAGACUGCACCUUUACCCGCAGUGGAAAUCCCCAGCUUAAAUCCACGCACUUCUAGGCUCCCAGUCAAUGUUGGUGUCCCCUACAGCCCAAACAAGAAGAUUGUUAAGGAAGCUGCGGUUGAUACCGCUGACAACACGCCCUGCCCUACAAAUAAGCCCGAUCAUUCUGUAGCGGUUGAUUCAGAUAUGUUUGUUGACCUUUCACCCUUGGAUUCUGCCCCGCAAGUUAUUCUCGGUCCGGCCAGUAGGCAUGAGAGGCACCCAAUGGCCUUCACCCCACCGAGCUUCAGCAUUGGCAUCAGUCAAGAUCAACCAGUGGUGCCAGAUCCUAUGCCAGUUGCCUUUGCUUUCCCGGGAGGCAUGCCGCAAUGA
rnacentral:rRNA from 1 species